GCUGGGCACGGUGGCGCAUGCCUGUAAUCCCAGCAACUCGAGAGGCUGAGGGAGGAGGAUCGUGGGUUGAAGGCCAGCAACUUAAGCCCUAAGCAAUUUAGUAAGACCCUGUCUUAA
rnacentral:sRNA from 1 species